CCGGGCCUCCCUCUCCACAGGGUCCCAGCCCAGGGCCCUGUAGACAGGGACUCUUGCUCCUGCCUGCUCGGUGGGGAAUCCGGCCGAUACGCACCGAGCUGUGAUAACAAUCCCUGGCCCUGGGCUGCUUCCUACCCCCUGGCCCCCGGAGUCCGUCCGCCUCCGCGUUGGUCCUUGCCAGGGCCGGGGCUGGCGGGAAAUGGCAGCAAAAUGUCGCAGUGCAGGACCAGUGGGCAGAAUAAUGAAGUGAACAGUAGUGCGAUGAACAGCAACCAGACUGAAUGGCAGUGCAGGGACAGACUUGGGGGAGGUCUCCAUUUCAGAGAGAGGAGCCAGACUGUUCGUGUGGAGCCUUUUCGGGGCCUGAAGCUUCUGCUGGAAGCUAGAGCCUGCUGUUGAGAGCUUGCUGGAGCUUGGAUCUAGCAGGCUGCUUCAGGGGCUGUUGGUGUGAUUAUCCCUGGAGGAGAGAGACUUUGUCUGUGCCUGUGGCUGAGAAGGACCUUCAUGACCCUGCAUAGAAGCAUUCCAAGCUACUGACAUCAAGAGGGCUGUAAGCAGAAGUAGAUUGCUGGCCUCAUUCAGACAUCAGUAGCUGGAGUGGGCUAGAACUCUUCAACUCCUGCCAUCACAGAAACUUGCAGAGGCCUGUGACGCUGUUGAAGCUGUCCCCCCAGAAAAUAAAUGCUUCAACAAGAAGGUGAUGACAGGCUCAAGUGACAGGAUGAUGCAAAGACAAGAGGCCUUCUGAAUCCUCACCCAAAGCCAUUGCUACUUUAGCAUUUUUGAGGAAAUUCAAGGACAUGGUUUAGAGCUCUAAUUCCUUCAGCAACUUACCACUGCCAGACCAGCCGCCACUGAAGGGCAAGCCACACCACUCGAGCCAGCUAUCCGACCCUUGGGGAACCGAAAGUGCAGGACCGUCCACAAGGACCUCAUGAGGGAGCACGUGGCUGUACUGUGUGACAUGCAGAGGACCCUAGGCCAAAUGGUCUGGGAUGAUGCUGAAUGGUGGAAAUGCAUGUGGGACUACCUUGUGCAGGAGGGUGAAAACGUGUGCCCCCAUCCAGGAAGUGAUGGCAUACCUGGCUCCUGUCCCCACUCCAGCUCCUGCCACUCCAGCCCUCCCCAGUUCAGCUCCCCCUGCCAUCCCUGAUCCUACUCCAGGUCCCCAUACUGCCCACCCCCUUGUCCCAGGCUCCACCCACUCCUGAGUUUGCCAAGGUCCCCGGACCCAAGGUGGCACUACCAGCUGCCCCAUUCCACUUCCAACUUUAUGCCCCCCAUCUUCCCUUCCCCUCCAGGUUCUCAGUCCCCCUC